CAAAAUAAAUAAAGUCGGAUGAAGCAACCAUAAACAUCAGCACAAAAAUCAGAUUCUGAGGAACGAAAGAUGCUCUACAAGAAAUCAGCGGUCCAUUUGAUACUAGUCCUACUGCUAUCAUUUUCUUUACUCUGCCCUCCAUCUUCAACAACAAACACUCACUUAACAGUGAAGGAGAGGAAUGAAGUGAUACAUAGAAAUCUAGGUGGAGGAAAACCACCUUCAUGUCCUCCACGUUAUCCUGGUUGUCAUUCAAGUGGUGGUAGAAGUAAGACAUGCCCUCCUCACUGUUGGUAGCCAGAAGGAAAUUGUGUUACCAGGGCAACCCAAAUGAAUGGUUAUUAGUUAUGAUUACUUGUGAUUUUGUAUUCUUACGGUUUUCAUUUUUCCAAUCCUGCUUAGAAAAGCUUUAUAUAUUUCAAAUAAAUUUAGGAGGUUAAAAUUUUAUAUGAUGUGUAUUUUGAUAUAUUCAUGUAUUUAUAUUAUGUUUAAAAUAUUUAAUGGUUGUAAUGUAUGAAUAUGAGCUUUAAAGGCUUCAACCUUAAUAUUUAUAUGUGUUCAAUUAA